UACGUAGGGGGCAAGCGUUGUCCGGAUUUAUUGGGCGUAAAGAGCUCGUAGGCGGCUUGGCAAGUCGGGUGUGAAAACUCCAGGCUCAACCUGGAGACGCCACCCGAUACUGCCAUGGCUAGAGUCCGGUAGGGGACCACGGAAUUCCUGGUGUAGCGGUGAAAUGCGCAGAUAUCAGGAGGAACACCGGUGGCGAAGGCGGUGGUCUGGGCCGGAACUGACGCUGAGGAGCGAAAGCGUGGGGAGCGAACAGG
rnacentral:rRNA from 1 species